CCGCAAGCCUCCAGCGUGCCUGGGCCUGCCGUGACCCUGUGCAUUCCUGCGGUGCUUGCCAGAGCAGUGUCGAAACGGUUUGAGGCCUUGCCCUGCCCCAUCCGGAGCAAGGUUAUAGAACUUUCAGACAGCU
ensembl:snoRNA small nucleolar RNA, H/ACA box 9